AGAACCACAUAAGCGGCCGAAUAAUCCGGAUCCGUGUGCUGCAGAGCGGACAGAGAAGAGGAAAUGGCCUCGAGAUUCCCCACAAACGCGGCGGAAGAACUUCACCUCCUCGUGGAUUAACCGUCAGGUUAUUAGCAGAGGGCAGUCUCACUCUUCAGCUUGGAUGGAGUCGGCGGGGGCAACAUAAUUGCUGGGGAUGUAGCCUUUCUUUCCCGUGGUGAUGGAGCGAGCCUCCCACCAGUCUCCUUCUCUGCAGGAGGAUAAUGACACAAGAGAGGUGAGACAAAUGUAACUGUCGACUGCUGCUGCUGCUGCUGCUGCUCUGGAGAUGGAUCUAAAGCGUUGUAAAAAAAAAAGUAAAUAAAUAAAAAUCUGGUCAUUCUUAUUUAAAAUCAUGCAUAUUUCACAGUUUAUAAAAAGGGUUUUGCAGCUGCACGUUUCAUCUGCAAGAUCUGCAAAAAAAAAAA